AAGUUACUGCUGGGCUGCCGGCCUGCGGGUUCCUGCCUGGCGUCUGUGAUCUCUCUGUGCCUUGGCAUUCAAGCCCCCUCCCAGGGGCUGGCCCUGUGGUACAGUGGGUAAAUUGCUACCUGCAGCACCAGCAUCCCAUAUGGGGACCAGUUCCAGUCCUGGCUGCUCCACUUCCCAACCAGCUCCCUGCUAAUACACGUGGGAAAGCAGCAGAGGAUGGCCCAAAUGCUAGGGCCCCUGCAUCCACGUGGGCAGCCUGGAGAAAGCUCCAGGCUCCUGGCUUCAACCUGGCCCAGCCCCCACUAUUGCGGCCAUUUGGAUCCUAUAUAGGUGCUGAUUUGUGUCCUGGCUGUUCCACUUCCCUUUCAAUUCCCUGCUUGUGGCCUGAGAAAGCAGUAGAGGAUUGCGCAAAGCCUCAGGACCUUGUGUGCAUGUGGGAGACCCUGAAGAAGCUCCAGGCUCCUGGCUUCAAAUUGGCUCAGGUCCGGCCAUUGAGGCUAUUUGGACAGAUUUCUUGGAAAGAAGGAGAGACAGACAAGGAAGAGAGAUCUUCCAUCCCCUGGUUCACUACCCAAAUGGCUGCAGUAGCCAAAGCUGAGCUGAUCCAAAG